CUUUGCCUUUUCAUUGGCUGCCUAAUCAUAUACCAGAAAAGAAAGAAAACAACAUAUUGUGAAAGUACAAUAUAUGACAAUCCUCAGGAAAUUAAUCCCCCCCAAACUCAGAAAACCACAGAAGAUGCUUCAGGUCUUUCUCCAAACUCCACCUACAUGUUGGUAACAUUUCCAACUGGACUAAAAGGAUCCACUGUGACUGAAAAGACCACAUCACCAGAGACCAUUUAUUGUUAAGUUAACAGCGCUCCAAAGUCCAACCACACA